UACGGAAGGCAGCAGUGGGGAAUAUUGCACAAUGGGCGAAAGCCUGAUGCAGCUAUGCCGCGUGUAUGAAGAAGGCCUUAGGGUUGUAAAGUACUUUCAUCGGGGAGGAAAAACAAAACUAAUAAUUUUAUUUCUUGACGUUACCCGAAAAAGAAGCACCGGCUAACUCCGUGCCAGCAGCCGCGGUAAUACGGAGGGUGCUAGCGUUAAUCAGAAUUACUGGGCGUAAAGAGCACGUAGGUGGUUUUUUUAAGUCAGAUGUGAAAUCCCUGGGCUUAACCUAGGAACUGCAUUUUGAAACUGAAAUACUAGAGUAUCGUAGAGGGAGGUAGAAUUCUAGGUGUAGCGGUGAAAUGCGUAGAUAUCUGGAGGAAUACCUGUGGCGAAGGCGGCCUCCUAAACGAAUACUGACACUGAGGUGCGAAAGCGUGGGGAGCAAACAGGGAUUAGAUACC
rnacentral:rRNA from 1 species